GACGAACGCUGGCGGCGUGCUUAACACAUGCAAGUCGAACGGUAAGGCCCUUCGGGGUACACGAGUGGCGAACGGGUGAGUAACACGUGGGUGAUCUGCCCUGCACUUCGGGAUGAGCCUGGGAAACUGGGUCUAAUACCGGAUAGGACCACUGCCUGCAUGGGUGGUGGUGGAAAGCUUUUGCGGUGUGGGAUGGGCCCGCGGCCUAUCAGCUUGUUGGUGGGGUGAUGGCCUACCAAGGCGACGACGGGUAGCCGGCCUGAGAGGGUGACCGGCCACACUGGGACUGAGAUACGGCCCAGACUCCUACGGGAGGCAGCAGUGGGGAAUAUUGCUCAAUGGGCGCAAGCCUGAUGCAGCGACGCCGCGUGAGGGAUGGCGGCCUUCGGGUUGUAAACCUCUUUCAGCACCGACGAAGCGCAAGUGACGGUAGGUGCAGAAGAAGGACCGGCCAACUACGUGCCAGCCGCCGCCGUAA
rnacentral:rRNA from 1 species